GUGGGGAAUUUUGCGCAAUGGGGGAAACCCUGACGCAGCAACGCCGCGUGGAGGAUGAAGGUCUUCGGAUUGUAAACUCCUGUCCUCGGGGACGAAAGCCAUGACGGUACCCGGGGAGGAAGCCCCGGCUAACUCCGUGCCAGCAGCCGCGGUAAUACGGGGGGGGCAAGCGUUGUUCGGAAUUACUGGGCGUAAAGGGCGCGUAGGCGGCCUGGGAAGUUCUGGGUGAAAGCCCCCGGCUCAACCGGGGAAGUGCCUGGAAAACCACUGGGCUGGAGUGCUGGAGAGGAAAGCAGAAUUCCUGGUGUAGCGGUGAAAUGCGUAGAGAUCAGGAGGAAUACCUGCGGCGAAGGCGGCUUUCUGGACAGACACUGACGCUGAGGCGCGAAAGCCAGGGGAGCAAACAGGAUUAGAAACCCUAGUAGUCC
rnacentral:rRNA from 1 species